ensembl:lncRNA
UACCAAAAUAUCAUUAGUCUCUAGUACUGACAAAUUUCUUCAUGAUCUCUAGUAGGAUUAAUUAGUUUCUUAAAAGUAUGGCUUCUUUUUUUCUACCACCUUUUUUUUUUUUAAAAAACCCUUCCAUUCUGUUUUAAUAUGAAUUCUGGCACUCUAUUUGCUUUGCUACCUAACUGUCCCAAGGUCUGACUUCUUGAAGGGAGAUUUUGCUUUUAGAAGCUGCCAAGAUUAUUUUGAGGCCAGACAACUCUACAUAGCAUAUAUGGCACCUUCUUUAAAAAGAAAUAAUAAGAAGGAUUUCAUCUGCUCACCCAAGCACACUUAGAGACAAAUCAGCCAACUCACUUAAGACAAAAUUGUAAAAGCAGGAGCAGUUUUUUUGUUUGUUUGUUUUGUUCUUUUGGAUUCAACACAAAAAGUUCAUCCAGAAUAGAGCACGGAGAUGAUCCAUCUUGUGGAAAGCAGUUGAAGGCCACAGAUUCAGAAGCAAGCCAAGUGGGGAGCUGUAUGAGCACAGGAAUGUCUGAGUUCAGGCUUUUCUCUUUGGAAGGUGAGAAAACAGCUGAAAUCAAGAUUCUCUUGGUCAGAAUUUGGUGGCUUUCAGCCAGUGACUAUUGCAAAGCUGAGAGAGCACAGAAAAGAUCUCCUUGGAGCUGAUAUCCACCAUCUUUUCUGAAAUUGCCCCACCCAGUGCCAAGGGUCCUAGGUGAGUGGGGUGUGGGGGUAGAGGGAGCAGAAUGAUUUCUUUUUUCAUCAUAAGCCCUAGGAAAUCCUGGGAAAGAUUGGAGUGUCCCCUUGCCAUGAAUAUCAACAAAUCCAUUUUGAUAAACUGUCUAAGGAAAGGUUUUUCUCUAGUCUCUGUAGGGUUUCCUUGGUGUAGUUUAUGGCCUUAGAAAGUAACCCCCUCCCCCAUGACCCUUUCCUUGGAAUGUUGCUGGGUUCCCAACCCUGGAGACAGUUGCUUGCAGCCUUCAGGGGACCUGGACAAGGAGAGAGUAUUGGAAUCAGACAACAAGAAGAUAAAAAAUUGGAUUGCCUUUGGAAGUUGCAAAGUUUAUUCAAUGACCACACAUUUCUCCAAGAAAGAAAGCCCCAUCUUUUUCAUGAUAAUUUUUUUUUUUGGCAAUGGUUUGGUAUUAGGUACUGGGAUUUUGUUCGUGUAUGUUUAUUUUUCACUUUUCAUAAGCUCUAAAAAUAUACCAUAAGAAGGAAAGGCAUCAAAAGCAAUCAUUACAAAAUUGGGGCAUAAAGACAAGAAGAAGGUAGAAGGUUACAUAAACUAAUAUACCCUGAAGAAUGAGUAGUUGGCGCCUAAGGAUCGACAGAUUUUGCUCUUUCAAAGUGUUGUAAUUUUUGCCAACUGUUUUCACAGUCUCAGAGCCAUAUUUAUCUCUUCAGCAGUGAUGAAAAUAUUCCCAAGUUUGGAACCACUACUGGAGAGGACUUGUCUGUCUCUUUCUGUGGUUUUCUCUCUUAUACACAUAUAUGUGUUAUAUGUUAAUAUAUAAUGAAUUAGGAUAUCUUUUUGGAAGACUUGUAACAAAAAUAUUUUAUAGACUUUAAAGUGCUAUGUGACUAUGAAUUACUAUUGAUUAGAUAGGUAUUAUACAGUUGAAAUAUAUUCUAUAAUAAAGAUACAGAGAAUUUCCA